ensembl:lncRNA
GGGAGGAUGAGCGACGGUAUGCACCGUGCUAUAUACACGAUACCGUGGGAAAUAUGGGCGGUGCCCACGCUGAUAGGUGCAUAGUUUGAAUUUUCAGGGACAAGCCUAUAAGGCGAAGCCUAGAUGGCGUAGCCUACAUGAAAAAGAACGUGGAGUUCCACCGGGUCGGACACUCUUGGAUCAGCUUGAGGUCGGGGAGGUCCAUCUGCUUCAGGGUGUCGUGGAGUUUUUUAGCAGAUGUGCAGCUCUUGUGGAAGUACUCCACGAUCGUCUUCACCUUACCAACAGUGGCAGAGAUGACCUUCAGACCACAUUUCACCACCAGGUUCAGAGUGUGGGCAAAGCAUGGUUGCCAUGUUUGCAGCUGUAUGGCGUUCACUGAACUCAAUACAGUCCAGCAGGCAAGAGACCAUUUCAAAGUCGUGAAUGAAAUGUGCAGUCACAGCAAGGAAGCUGGUUGUGACUCGGCAUGAUGACCUUCGAGAUGGUCUUCCUGCUGGGCGGAACAUACCAAGGAUGGAGGGCCUUGGUAUAUGCCCUGAAGCCUGUGUCCUCCACCAUGGAAAAGGGCUGGAGGUCUUUGGCGUGUUCCUGAAGGUGGUGCUGAGGCUUGUGGUGCAGAGUUUGCAGCAGGAGUAGCAGGAGCAGCAGCAGCAGGAGCAGCAGCAGGAACAGCAGCAGCAGGAGCAGCAGCAAGAGCAUUAGCAGCAGGAGCAGCAGUGCCCCUGCCCUCCUGUCCCCUCUGCUCCAAAGUUAGCCUUGCAUGCAAUGAAGGAUGCAUAGUCCUCAGGUGGCGGUAGAGGAUGGCGGUCGAGCCUCCUUUAAAAGAGAUUUUCUUUUUGCAGACCUUGCAUGACGCCAGGGCAUUAUUGACGCAAAUAAAGUCGUUCCACACAGCACUUCUUUUUCGUGUCG